UUGUCUCAGACAAAUAAUGUUUCUCAUCCUCAUCUCCACCUCCUUAGUUUUCUCGGGCGACAAGCUUUCACUUUCUUUUCUGUAAAAACGAAAAAUGAAAUCUAGGGUUUAUCCCUUAUCUUUCUUGUGAUUUCUUUUUUGUGGGUACUCGAGAGAUCGAGUUAAUGGAGGAUAUAAGUAGAUCAAGUGGAUCCUCUCUGCCUUCAUCAAGAUCAGCAGGCAGGGGGCCAUAAUGGUAUCAGCAAAAUCAUUUUCGGAUCCCUACUUUAUUAAAGUUCGGGUUAACACAAUCUGAGAAUUCCUUUUUGGCAGACAAAUUUGUCUUUCUAAUGUUGCUAUUAUGUCUUUUGUGAUGAAUUGUUUAGGUUAUGUAAUGUUUACACUCCCCAAGGAGAAUCGAUCUCAAUGCGCUGCUGAAAAGAUUUUCAGCAUUCCUAUUGUUGAGAAAGAAGUUUCAUGGUAUGGGAUUGAGCAAGAGUACACCCUGUGCAGAAGGAUGCUUACUGGCCUCUUGAAUGGAUGGCAGAACCAGUAUAUUCAGUGAAGACCAAAUAUGACUGCUUUCUCUCAUCGCAAUGUGUUCUGACGUAUGAACUAGAAGCGAUAAUGUGGUUGUGCAACGGUUUUCCGGAGGGACAGAUUUUCCCAUGUGAAGAAGUCAAGGUUUGGAGAUUACAGACUAUCUCUUUCGCAGCAUGCAUCUUCGUCAGAAUUCAAUUUGGUGAAUUCCUCUCUAAACAAAAGUGCGCUGAGGGGUAGUGUAAGUAGUGCAGAACUAUCAGUCUAUCACAGUAUGAGAUCUCGAAUGGGGUAAUUGUAGAAACCAAUUGUAAGAAUCGUACUAUGGCUGUCAAGAAAAAUCUGAUUUGUGUGUAAAAGAGGGAUUGGGUAGUGAGUCUAGUGAUCCAGUGUUUGUCAACAUCAGACAAGGGUCUACCUCGAAACCAACUUGCACGGGAUGCCAAACUCGGAGUGGGCUACUCAUGCGUCAUGCCGUGCUUACUGGUUCACAAUCAGAAGAGGGCAGUUUAUAUGAAAGGUUAGUGGUCAUCUUGUUUUAAUCAUCUAGAUCACUGUCUUUAAACGGAUAGGUAAUGGCAAGUACAAAUUUACCUCUUAUUUGAAUGAGAAUGAAAAAUAGUGCACAUGUACAGUAGCUAGAGAAGAAACAUAAUUUGAUCAUGAGGAUGUAUUGGGCAUUUAAACCAAAGACUGUUUAUUAUUUGGCGCAGCUAGAAAUUGUUGGAACAUCUAAUUUGUAAUUGUCUAGAAUGAUCUAGAAAAAUAUAGAGAAAUGUAGAAAACAAGUAUUCUAGAAUGUACUAGAGGAGCCAAAGUCCUUCGAGACUUGGCUAAGUUACAAAUGUUAGUCAAAAAGAUGUCCUAGUCUAAAUGUCUACUAGGAUAUUCUAGAGAAAGUCAAGUAGGUCAAAUUAGUUUACAUUUAGAAAACUCUAAAUACAACUAGAGUAGAGUGAAGUAAUAUGAAGCCUAUAAAUAGGCAUGUUGUGCACCAUUUGUAAGCAAGCAAGAAGAUUAAAUUCAAUAGAAAAGAAAAUUCGAAGUUACAAAUCCUUGCUUCCACCUUCACUACUAGAGUUCUAGGAGCUCUAUACGAGCAACACCACUAUGUUCGUAUAUCUCCAUAAAUAUUAUUCAACGUUAAAAUUAUUUCAAUUUCUAACAGAAAUGACCCAUAAAAAGGAGUUUAGUUUUACUAUCUUUAAAUGUACAUAAAUGUCACCUUAUUUCCGUGGAAAUUAGUCAUAUUGCUGGUAUUCUUAUAUCUGAAGGUGUGUAGUGGAAUUAAUCUCACAACAUGGAGAACUGCCGGAUCGAAGUUUAGGUUCACUUGUGCCUAUAAAAUAAAAUUCCCUGUCCAUUUUUUUUUUAAUUUGAAGCCAGUUCCCAUAGAGGGUUCCAUCUGGGUCGGUGUUGGACCAUUUUUUUGCAGGUGAUGCGCUGUUACUGGACCUUGUUUUUGCUUUUACCUGGUUUUCGCUUUUACCUUGUUUUCUUGUAAAGUGGCUGUCCAUUCCGAGGUGGAAUCAACUAGGCUGCUCAGUCGCUGACAGAAUCUGUGGUCCCAAUCACUCAGAAGAAAGCUGCUUUAUCUCGACUUCUUAAGUUCUGUGCAGGGAGUCACUGUUUUUCACUUCGAAAGAUCACUAAAGAACGCAUAUAAGACCAGUGUUGAGGCUCAAUGCAAAGAAGUAUUGGAAUUACAUUUUAUGUUCUGUGUAUUAUAGAUUUAAUGUAAAAAAGCAAAUACAUUUUGAGGUAAUCAAUUUAUAUAAUUUUUAUGGUU